rnacentral:lncRNA from 1 species
CUAACUUCCAAGCUUCCCAUUUCUGUAUAAUUUAAGCAUGAAAAUGAGAACACUGAGAUUUGAUAGGCAUGUAGAAGUCAGAGUAAGCAAGAGGGCUUGAGUUCAUCGAUGAACUUCAGUAACUAUCCUUGACUUAGUAUUGGUGGAAACCAUUUGUGAAUUUACAGACUCCAAAAACAAAAAGAUAAUUUAGAGUCUCAAAGUAAGAUUUGGGGAGAUGUCCAUUGGAGACAGAAGUGGAGAGAGGGAGAAGUUCAUUUGUUGACAUAUUUAUGUAUGGUGCACCUACUGUGUGCCAAGCCAUGUUAGAGAUACAGUGGGAGCAAAACCAGAUGUGUUUUCUGCCCUCUGACUCCAGUGGUUGCAGAAUUAGCCCAGGAACUAGAAUUGGAUGGAGUCACACAAACCAAGGAAGGGGAUUGUUUGAGGGGGGCACUCAGUCACAUGUGGCUGAGGCCAAAGAGAAUGAAGAUAUAUUUUAAAAUUCUGGAUUUGGCAAAAUUUAGGCUAGUCUUUACUUUUCAUAAACCUCUCUCAUGUUAGAGCAGCAAAGAAAAACCAGUUUGCCAAGAGGUCACGAGAUUGGGCAGUGAGGAAUGGGGAGUUUAGUUUAAAAGACAACACUAGAUACUUUUGGAAGUUUACCUAUUCUGUGGUUCCCUUUUAUUGACUAAAUGGUGCCCUUCAUUCAUGAAGCAAGUAUCUAUUUAGUGACUACUAUGUGUCAAAAGCUAUCUAGGCCCAGAAACUUUUAAGUGGAAAACAAAACAAAGACCCUGCCCUGACAGAUUUCAAUCAUGUAUAUACUGUAUGUAUGUUUGUGGAAGGUGACAUAAUAGACAAUUGCAGAUAGUGAUAAGUGUGUAAGACAAGGAUACCACGAGCGUAAUAGACAGUGGGGAUGGAGGAACCUUUAGAAGGUUGGUUAAGUUGAAUGAUAAGGAGCCAUUCUUUUGUCUUUACCUGAAUGACUUAUCAUUCAGCCCUUUUUGAGUUUUGGGUUGCUUGCAGAGUUUAACCUUGCCUGUAAUUGAAACUUAAUUUUGUAAUAGCAUAACUUCAUGUAAGAAAAGCAAAGCAAUACAUUACAGAAUUAUUUUACUGAAGAACUUGUUUCAGAGAAAGAGGCUGUUUCACAUUUAUUAGCACAUUUGGAUUAUAUUUAGGUGUUUUAUUUUUUUUUAAACAAAGGAGUUUGGAUCAUAAUACAAGAGAAGCACAGGGCAAAGACACUGCAUAACCUCAAGAACUAAGAAUGGAAGGACUGGCCAGGCCUGGUGGUGCACACCUGUAAUCCCAGCUACUCAGGAGGCUGAGGCGAGAGAAUCGCUUGAGCCUGGGGGGCAGAGGUUGCAGUGAGCUGAGAGAACGGCGGGCGGCAGAGCGAGACUCCAUCUCAAAAAAAAAAAAGGAUAAAGGAAGGACUUAAGCAAAAUCUUCCUUGUAAGUAGAAGGAUGUUUUGACAAGAAAAGUUGCAAUGGAAAAAUGGUUCUCAUGUACACGAGUAUGUAGAAUAAGCAUCGUGUGUGGAUUGGAUUCAGAUCAAAACAUUGCUUUUAUGUUUGUGUCUUUAUACGGUGGGAGUAUACCCUGGUGCCCCAGGAUGAAGACUUGACCUGACCCAUGUAUUUUUAGAUUACUCACAGAUAACAAAAAGUAUUUUCAUCAUGAUUAGUUGCGAAAACAGUUUUAUUUCAAUAGGUAAAACGUGCAGUCCUAUGUAAUCGUCAGAAGGUAAUCUUAAUUAUAGCUUGGGUGUGCUUUAAACUGCAAGCUGGCAGUGGAGGGCACGAUUCCUCUGAUUUCAGCUUUCUCCUUAUACUUUUCUGGAGCUGUGAGCUGCAAGUUAACUCAGUGGGAUUAAAGUGUAGACUGGAGGUACAAAAGGUGAGGAGUGAGGAGAUAGGGUAGUUCUUCCUUGGCUGGCUGGCUUCAUAAUCCCUGGGCCCCGCAGAUAAUUAAAUCGACUUUUUCUGUCUCAGGCAUUUGUAUGACCUCUUUGGAGGUUCCCUGCUGGGUAGUUAUCCUUGUAUCUGAUGGACCCAUCUCAAUUUAAAAUACUCUGCCAGGUUCGGAGGUUCAUGCUUGUCAUCCCAGCACUUUGGGAGGCUCAGAGGUGCCAUUGGCUUGAGCCCAAGAGUUUGAGACCAGCCUGGGCAACCUGGUGAAACCUCUUCUCCAUUAAAAAUACAAAAAAUUAGCCAGGCAUGGUGGUAUGUGCCUGUAGUCCCAGCUACUCAGGGAGCUGAGGUGGAAGGAUUGCUUGAGCCUGGGAGGUCAAGGCUGCAGUGAACCUUGAUUGUGCCACUGCACUCCAGCCUGGAUGACAAAGACCCUGUCUCAAGAAAAGUCUGUAAUUCUUUCCUAACCCUUAGUAUCCAGCCUCAGUCCUGAGGUUUUCUUUACCUCUGGGGGCUAUUUUAUGCCGGCUCUCUCCUGAGUGUCACACAUCUGGUCCUCAGGAAACAUUCUCACAUCCCUGGCCUGAAAAAAACAAUUUCAGGGAGAUCGCAUGGCAGCAGCCCUCUCUGGGCUCCCCAGCUAAAUGGUUGUACGAAACACAUUUCAAAGCUCUCUGAAGGGCUUCCUUGAAGUUCCUUUCACUGGGUUUCAAAGUAGAAGGUAGUAACUCCUUUGUCCAAGAAGGCUGAAUUGAGCACUUAACAAUUCUCCAAAGAAAUUUCUUCAUUGGUCUCUAUCCUAGACCCCUUCUGUAUCCUUGAUAUGGCUGAGGAUUCUAAAAAAUGACCAGUCUUACAUGGGAGGGCUGGGAUAUAAAAAAUAAAAUAAUAAAUAAUGAUAAAAACUGAAAACUGACCACGUUCUUGGAUAUGUUUUCUUUGGGUUGUGUGUGUGUGUGAGACUUUUGAUAGUUACCCAAAGUAGGAAAAAUCCCAUUCUAAUAAGGUUAUAUUUAUGUAGCUCUGCAAAUAAACAUCUAGCAAAUGUAAAAAGUAUUUUCUUUGCCUUAAAAAUGAUUAAAAUUAUUUGAACUCCUGAGGAGUGUUAUAUGAAUAAAAUUAGUAAGUUAUUUGGAGGAAAGUUAUUUUUUAAAAAGACAACUGGUAAAACAGUACAGGAGAAAGGCCAGCUUCCUCAAGUGAGGACAGUUGUUUAGAAUUGACUGAGGAGCGGCCGGGUGCGGAGGCUCACAUCUGUAAUCCCACACGCCUUGGGAGGCUCUGAGGCGGGUAGAUCACCUGAGGUCAGGAGUUUGAGACCAGCCUGGCCAACAUGGCGAAACCCCGUCUCCACUAAAAAUACAAAAAUUAGCCAGGUGCAGUGGCACACACCUGUAAUCCCAGCUACUCCGAAGGCUGAGGCAGGAGGAUCACCUGAGCCCAGGAAGUUGAGACUGCAGUGAGCUGAGAUUGCACCACUGCACUCCAGCCUCAGUGACAGCGAGACUGUCUCAAAAAAAGAAAAAAGUGACUGAGGAGGAAGAGGCCAGGUGGCAAAUGGAACAGAAUCACCAAAGGGUGAACAGGACUAAGGCAAUGUAGUGUAUGGCUCAGCUACGUCAGAGUGGAAAAGGUGUUAUUAGAGCAGAAACUAUGGUCCCUGCGUCACAGGGAAGCAACCUACAGAGAAGCAGCAGCUCCCCAAGAGAGGAGAGAUAAGAAGCCAGAAGCCUCAGAGUGAACAAUUGUCCUAUUAGGGAUUGCUCUAGAGAGAGAAACCUCUGGGAACGUACCCCUGUGAGGCAGCACAGCACAAUGCUUUUAGAAUUGUAUGAGAGUUGAUAUAUCUCCAUUUGUUUUGCAAAGGCAAAAACUAAGAUACAGAGAUUAUCUGUUAAAGUUAUGUAUUUCUUUGGUAAUAAAGAUGCUGACAGUGUUGCUGGAAUGCAUUUCUUUAAUAAAGAUAUUGUACAAUGAAA